CUGCUUCUUACUUCUCCUCCUCUCUCUCUUUCAUUCUUUCACCAUAAGCAACAAGAAAAGAAAAGCUUUCUCUUCUAUCAACAAUGGUUAGGACUUGGUUUUGAGGCUAUCUCUCUCUCUCUCUCUUCUUGAAUUUGUUUGCUUUUUAGUUUUCUGGGUGACAGAAGGAAACAGAAACAAACAAAAAACCUCUAACAGACUCUCUCUCAAGCAAAAGCAUUUACUCUCUAUAUAGCAACUAGGCAUCUGUAUGGCACAUGACUCUUAUGGCCACACUCUUUAUUCAGGCGCGUGCACCAACAUGUCACUCUUCUUUCUUCUCAACCAGAAAUCUUGGUGAACAGAUUCCUCCUUUUCAAGCUGAUGCUACUUCUUACUAGUCUCUCUACUGUUUCUAUAGACUGAUUGAUCUCUUCGGAAUUUGAUCUGAGACGGAAGAAUCUGUAGAGACAGUGGAGGCCACGCGCCGGAGAGUGAGAAAAGAUUUGGGCCUGUCUGGUCAGAGACUUGCCCACUGGCUUCCACUUUGAGAACUAUUUUGACGAGAGAGAGAGGCUGAUCAGAAGAAAUCUAUAAAAUAUCUCGCAAGGACCCAUUGAUGGGAUGAUAUAACCUCUCAAAGCCUUUGAGAUUUUUUCCUAUUAGGAUUCAACUUUAAAUGUACCAUGUAAUGUGUGACACUGUUUGUAUAAGACUUUUGAUUAUGACAAACAUAAUUUGACUUUC
rnacentral:misc_RNA from 1 species